rnacentral:lncRNA from 1 species
ACACUUGGCUGUUGAGCACUGGACAUGUGGCUGGUUUGAAUAAGGCACCAAAUUGAAGAGGCGACUAGGACACAGACCCAGCAAGUGACACUGGGAGAGGACGGCCAUCUGUAAGCCAAGGGAGGAUGCUUCAGGAGGAAGCGACCCUGCCGACAACUUGAUCUUGGACUUCUAGCCUUCCAGAAUUCUUUGCACAGUCUAGUUCCAGAUACCUCCCCCCAAAAUUCUGGGCUGCCCUUUCCAUUGCCCCAAGGCCCCCACACACUUAUAGCAAUUCCCCAACAAAUGAAUGUCACUUUUCCAUUAUAGAGACAGACCAAAUUAGCAUUUAGCAGAAAAAGGGACUUCGUCUUCUUCUUCUUUUUUUUUUUUUUUUGCAAAUCAUAUAACUCUAAAUUACCUUCAAUUUCCUAAAUGGAAUUUGGCUCGAGAUUCACCCUGGUAGGGAGUAGUCUGUAAUGAGAUUAUAUUAUGUUUGGGGGAAAACAUUCAAAUGACCAAGAUAAUUAAUUUUGCAUAACAACCAACAUAUAGCAAGAGCCAAAGCUGUAACUCAAAGCCUGCAACCUGCCAGGGGCCCCUGGGGGUGAUAAUGUUUCUUUCAAAAUACUACCUCAGAGAUGGUUCUGGGGACCUGGGAAAUGCAGAGGUUUGAAAGCUGGAAAUGUCGUGUUCUUUCUGUCCUGGUGGCCAUGCUCAUCUUUUCUCCGUAGCUGUCAUUCACACGAGCUCUCUCCUGGGCUCAGGAAGAUGAAAGACAUCCCCAGACCCCAAGGAGCAUCCUGAAUGGGUUUUGUUGGGAGGAAUCUUUUGAGAGUUAAUUCCAAGUGUUUAAAAUGUUUGGUGCUGUUUCAAAGGCUCAGCUUAUGGUAGGAUGUGGGGUGUGUGUGUGUGUGUGUGGGUGUGUGUGUGUGUGUGUGUACACACGCACAGGUGUGCUCAUCUUCUAAAGGAAAGACUAAGAUCAAAUGCUCUCUGGUUCUUUGAAUUUGCUUUGCCAGGUGGCUUUAUUUGUAUGAUAUUAGCCUUGUCUGAACAUCUGGGAAGGAUCUGACGUGGCAGCAAUUUUCUGCUUCUGAUUCAUUGCUAAAGUCCCCUCAGAAAUAGCCAGGACCUGGCUGACUGCCCACCUCCAUCCUUGCAUCUCUUGGCUGCAUCUCCUCCUAACGCAGUCCAAGAACGUACAUUGGGUUGGGAGCCAGCGAACCUAUAUUUUUUGUUUAAGAUCUGCUUCUAACCACCUGCAUGGUCUAAAAAAAAACAAAAACCAAAAAACUUCUGUACUUACACACUUGUGAAUGUUCACAAGAGACAAGAGAGGGGAACAACCUAAAUGUCCAUCAGUGGACGAGUGGAUAAGCAAAUUGUGGUAUGUCCAUACAAUGGAAUAAUACGUGGCCAUAAAAAGGCAGGUAGUAUUGAAAGCAUGAUGCUAAGUAAGAGAAGCCAAAUCUAAAUUAUCACACAUUUUAUGAUUCCUUUCAUAUGAAAUGCCCAGGAUAGGUAAAUCCAGAGACAGAAAAUGGAUUGGUGGGUGCCAAGGGCUGGGGAGAGGAAGGAAGGAGGAAUGAGAGCUUAUCAGGUAUUGGUUUUCUUUCCAGGUGAUGGAAAUAUUUUGGAACUAGGUAGUGUGAUGAUGGUUGCAUGACACUGUGAAUGUGUUAAAUGCCAAUGAAUCAUCCACUUUAAAGUGAUUACUCUUAUGAGAAUUCCACUACACUUUAAAAAAGUUCCCUCCAUCCUUAAGCCCACCAGGUCUUAGAGUAUUUAUCUGGAAAAAUCAGAUGUUGGACCAGAAACAGAUUUCAAACUUUCAGGUUCUAGACCACAUUUGGCCAGCUAAUACUUAAUAAGGCCUCAACAGCAGUUCCCAAAAUUCUCAAUCUGAAUUUCCUUUUGUGGUCAAAGAUGAGCCUCUCUCCCCACUGCAGUGUGCCACGUCUCCUGGUCUUCAUAUCCUGUGUAGCCCCUCUCACACCGAAACUGGGCUGACCCUGUGAUUAGCACUGACCCGCAGAAGUGACAUCAUGUAACGUCCAAGGCUGGACCCUGAGACACCUGCAGUUUCCACCUGUGACACCAUGGAACGUGACACCAUGCUGUGAGGAAGCCCAGGCUGCACAAGGAAACACACACACAGAAGCCCCAGGCAGCCGUUGGCACCCACCACCAGCCAUGUUAGUGAACGAUCUUGACAUUCCAGUCCAAUCAAGCCUUCAGGGGACACAGCCUAGCUAACCUCACGUGGAGGUUUUCUGCGAUGUUGCUGUAGCUACAGCUGUCGAUACAUUGCUUAUAUACAUAUGUAUCUCUAUCUGAAUCUGUAUCGAUCUAGAUAUAGUUCAUAUAGAUACAAUCAUAUACAUCUCUCUAUCUAUUUAUAAUUGGCUGACACAAUUAUGGGGACUGACAAGUCCAAAAUGUACAGGACAGGCUGUCAGGUUCGACUCCCAGGGAAGAGCUGAUGCUGUGCUCAAGGCCUAAGGCAGACAACUGGCAGCAGGACUUCUUCCUUUUGGGAGGUCAGUCUUUUUUUUUUUUUUUUUCUUUUUUUUUUUUUUUUGGUUUUUUUGUCCUUUUAGGGCUGCACCUGAGGCAUAUGGAGGGUCCCAGGCCAAGGGUCAAAUCAGGGCUGUAGCUGCCAUCCUACACCACAGCCACAGCAACGCUGGAUAUGAGCCACAUCUGCAACCUACACCACAGCUCAUGGCAAUGCUGGAUCCUUAACCCACUGAGUGAGGCCAGGGAUAGAACCCACAGCCUCAUGGUUCCUAGUCAGAUUCAUUAACCACUGAGCCAGGACGGGAACUCCUGGGAGGUCAGUCUUUUUUCUGAUAGCCUUCACCUGAUUGGACGAGGCUCACCCCCAAUAUGGAAGAUAAUCUGUUUCAUUUAAAGGCUGCUGAUUUAAAUAUUAAUCACAUCUUAAAAAUACCUUCUCUGUUAACAUCUGGACUGGCGUCUGAGCACACACCUGGGUAACAUGGCCUACCAAGUUGACACAUAAUGGUCACAGGGGCAUGAAGUGACCGCCACCCUUUGCAGUCUUCCAGAUUACGCUUCUGUCUAUACCCCACCCAGACGCCCUUGGAGCCCCUUUCUCUUUCCCCAAGUCCAGGUGCUGUGGCCACCCCCGAGCCUCACCCCUUCUGCAGAGGCCACCCUUGGAGCCACCCUGUGUGAGGCACAGAGGGCUGGAGCCUAGGGGGAUCUCCUGCCAAGGGUGAUCCUGCUCCCUGCUUUGUUACUGUCAGUUUGGCCUCAUCCCAUGAGAGGCAGGAAGCCCAGGCUGUCCCUUUGGGCUGAUACACCUUGGAAGCCUGAUUUCAGGCUUUCUCCCCACCCAUGUUCCUCCCCUGUGCUUCCCCCGACACCCCAGCCAUGCUAGGUUCCUUUGCUUUCUCCCUGUCUGCUCCCCACUCACCCCCACGCCAGUUUCUCUUGCGAGUACUCAAACCCUCCUCUGAGGGUCUGCUUUAGGGGAACCCAACCUAAGACAGACCCCCUUGUGAAGCCGGGAGCAAGACAUGGUGUAUCACGUGCCUCCCCCAAGCACCUGCUGGGUCCAAGCAGGGGAGGAAACAGGCAGAGCCCCUCUGCUUGUGGAGCUAACAUCCUUCCAUGUGGCUGACUAGGAGGUUUUUCCAGCUAGAGGUGGAAUUUAUGCGUCUGUUCUGAUGGCGCUGCUCCCUGCUUUGUUACUGUCAGUCUGGCCUCAUCCCACGAGAGGCAGGAGAAGGCGACCCUGGGUUUCAGUUUGAUUUGUGCUCAGUGUAGCUCCCCAUUGCCUCUGGUUUCCUGCUCUUAUGAGCAGAAAUCAAGUGCACGUUACAUGCAUCUGCCAGUGUGAGGCGGGUCUCAUCCUUUAUGUAGCAUAACCAAGCCCCAGAGGCCGGGCUCCCCAUACCCAAUGCACAGGGCCCCAAUCUCAGCUGCCCCCCCAACUUUCCCACAGUUCUCCUCUCUUCAUCACACCUUCUUCCUGUGGCCUCUGCCCCAGUUGUGCCCCUCAAACUGCAAAUACACCCCCCAACGCGAGCCAGACCAUUCUUCCUCACCAUCAGUGGUCCACGCGUCCCAGAGCCCCCUGUGCUGUGAUCGCCGCCUUUACAGAUGUGUGUGAGGGUGCGUUGGUGUUUUGUGACAGAUAUGGAAAUUCAAUAAAAGGCAAGUUAAUUAAAACAGAACAAGCUGUUGCCUGGA